rnacentral:piRNA from 1 species
UCCCGGGACCAAGUCCCUGCCUGCCUC